rnacentral:rRNA from 1 species
GUUGUUCGGAAUCAUUGGGCGUAAAGCGCGUGUAGGCGGCUCGGUAAGUCCGCUCUGAAAGUCCAGGGCUCAACCCUGGGAUGCGGGUGGAUACUGCCGGGCUCGAGUCCGGAAGAGGCGAGUGGAAUUCCCGGUGUAGCGGUGAAAUGCGCAGAUAUCGGGAGGAACACCAAUGGCGAAGGCAGCUCGCUGGGACGUGACUGACGCUGAGACGCGAAAGCGUGGGGAGCAAACAGG